GAUGAACGCUGGCGGCGUGCCUAAUACAUGCAAGUCGAGCGAACGGACGAGAAGCUUGCUUCUCUGAUGUUAGCGGCGGACGGGUGAGUAACACGUGGAUAACCUACCUAUAAGACUGGGAUAACUUCGGGAAACCGGAGCUAAUACCGGAUAAUAUUUUGAACCGCAUGGUUCAAAAGUGAAAGACGGUCUUGCUGUUACUUAUAGAUGGAUCCGCGCUGCAUUAGCUAGUUGGUAAGGUAACGGCUUACCAAGGCAACGAUGCAUAGCCGACCUGAGAGGGUGAUCGGCCACACUGGAACUGGGACACGGGCCAGACUCCUACGGGAGGCAGCAGUAGGGAAUCUUCCGCAAUGGGCGAAAGCCUGACGGAGCAACGCCGCGUGAGUGAUGAAGGUCUUCGGAUCGUAAAACUCUGUUAUUAGGGAAGAACAUAUGUGUAAGUAACUGUGCACAUCUUGACGGUACCUAGUCAGAAAGCCACGGCUAACUACGUG
rnacentral:rRNA from 1 species